AUAAAAUUUUAUGGUGAGCAUACCUUUAGUUAUGCAUAUUCUAACCUCAAUAGAUAUUCUCUUUAACAAAGAUAAUUCUACAAUAUACACAAAGUCCACAGUUAGUCUAUUUAGAUUAUUUUCUCCUAAAAACUUGUUUUAAUGAAAUAUUUACAGGAAACUUGAAGUUCAAUAGCUUGAUCCAUUAAAGCAAAUUAAUUAUCAAAAGAUAGAAAAUGAGCAUAAAAGUGAACUUCAUGAAAAUGACAACCCUAAAAAAAAUUGUUUUUGUAAAGAGCCAAUCAGAUAGUGGCAGGAGAAGCCUCUGGGGCUUCUUCCUAAGACUUCACAAAUGUGCUGCGAAGCUAUGCCUACCCUUUAAGAGACCUGACACUUGACAUUUUCCCAGGUUAUAAGUAAUUUGGGUAAUAAAGCUGUAGGGAAAUUGAACUUGUCAGCAUGUUAAAUGCAUUUGUCUCUCUGAGCAAAAUAAACUAUGCUGGUGGAAUGGAUGAUAACCAUAGGCACAUUUUUCUGAUUUAUCAGUGAGGUAUUUAAACUGCUUUUUUCAAAUUUUUAUUUACUUCCUUUAUUUGUUACCCUUGCGUCAAAUUCAAAAACUUUAUUACACAUAAACUUUCUUUACAAUGUUUGACUAGAGCCUUAGAGAUGGAAUGAGAAAAUUUUGUAGUUAUUUGAAUUCAGAGUUUGCGUUCUUGCUGCCAUGGAUUUAUUCAGUGCCUCCUAGCAUUUCUGUUUUGAUAGAAGUUUUACUUUUCAUAUUGUGGUAUAUUUUGUUAACCGAUAUGUUUUGUCUGAAUCACAGUUUCAAAUGGCAUUCAAGGGUACGCCACUUGAAUAUCAGGUGCGGUAGUAAGAUGAGCAUUUGGAGAGGGUGUUUGCAAAAGUUUCCAUUUUGCCUGAACACUGAAGGAAAACCAAACUGACGCUGGCAUCGUGGGAGGAGCAGUGAUCCUGCUCACUUGUAUGGCGUGUGGAAUGAAGGUGCCUCCAUGAAUGAAGGUGUCUCAUCCUCACUGUAAGCCUGGAUGCAGGUACUAUCAUUAUUCCCAUUUUCAUAGGUGAGACGCUUGAGGCAUGCGGGAGCUAAGGAUCUGGCCUAAGUUUACACAGCCAGUGAGCGGAGGCUGGAAUUCAAAUCCACGAUAGUGAUGCCAAAUUAAGGCCCCUUACCCCAGGCUGGAUCACUCCCGAUUUGUGUCCUCCAUAUACAGCACAAAGGUACUAGAGCUGCUCACGGUGCUUCAGAAAGCCCAUGGGGAAGUGGAACUAUCAGUUUAUUUUCAUGCAGAAAAAAAAUCUUUGAAGCCAUGUAUAUGAGGAGUCUUCAAAAACUCAUGGAAAAUGUGUUCUGAAAUAAUGCAUGAAUUUUUUUGUAUCAAAAUAAAUUGUAAUUCCAUUUCUCA
rnacentral:lncRNA from 1 species